rnacentral:rRNA from 1 species
AUUGAACGCUGGCGGCAGGCUUAACGCAUGCAAGUCGAGCGGAGAUGAGGUGCUUGCACCUUAUCUUAGCGGCGGACGGGUGAGUAAUGCUUAGGAAUCUGCCCAUUAGUGGGGGACAACAUUCCGAAAGGAAUGCUAAUACCGCAUACGUCCUACGGGAGAAAGCAGGGGAUCUUCGGACCUUGCGCUAAUAGAUGAGCCUAAGUCGGAUUAGCUAGUUGGUGGGGUAAAGGCCUACCAAGGCGACGAUCUGUAGCGGGUCUGAGAGGAUGAUACGCCACACUGGGACUGAGACACGGCCCAGACUCCUACGGGAGGCAGCAGUGGGGAAUAUUGGACAAUGGGGGGAACCCUGAUCAAGCCAUGCCGCGUGUGUGAAGAAGGCCUUAUGGUUGUAAAGCACUUUAAGCGAGGAGGAGGCUACUGAGACUAAUACUCUUGGAUAGUGGACGUUACUCGCAGAAUAAGCACCGGCUAACUCUGUGCCAGCCGCCGCGGUAA